rnacentral:tRNA from 1 species
AGAGAUAUAGCUCAGUAGUACAGUGCCUGCCUGGAAAGCACAAGGUCCUGAGUUUGAUUCCCGGUACCCCCA